CAUGACUGCUGUUAGAUCUUUCAUAUUUAAUUAGAUUAUGUGGUUUCGUAGGGCGAUUUCUGAACGCAUCCGGAUCCUUCCGGAAUUACCGAAGGAGUUUCCCAUCAGGGAAGGGUGUUUGUUCUCUGACUAUACUAAGGGUAUUUCACCUGAGAGAGCCGGUCUUUAGCAAACCUAACUCCGAGAUUAGGGGGGACAGAACACAGCCGGAUUCCAUCAGGUUGCGCAAGCCAAUAAUCAUUUGAAUUAUUAAUGAAGUGGAUGGAAGACGGGAUUACCGUCUGAUAAGAGAUUGAUAUCCACGUUAUCAAGACCGUGUUGACAUGAUCACAAUAAUUUUUAGACACAAUCUGCUACCGGAAACAUUUCCUUUCUAAUAACGUAUAACCCAUCAAGCCAAAAGCGGAACUAUUCGGAACUGUUGGACACGAAGGUACAAAAAUGAAUGAAUGAAUGAAAUCUGGAUUGCCAUCCAGCGAUAUAAAUAGCGCGCCGUUCCAGCCGUCAACUGCUACUCCUUUUAUAGCCACUUGCCGCCGAUUUUCACGAUGCGUCGUUCACUCUACUGCGGAGUUUUUGUUGCUGGUCUGCUGAUGUGCGCGAUUUCUGCGGUCUGAGCAACUCUCCGAUUUCAGUUGUUAUUUCCGGCCAACGUACUGGAUGCCAUCACGAUGCAUAAUGGCACUCCGGGGUUUUCACACUAGAGACACUGCUGCUGACGAGAA